UGCCGCUCAAGCGGUGGUCUCUGCCGCUCAAGCUGUAGUAUGACUGAGUUCUGCCGCUCAAGCGAUAGUCUCUGCCGCUCAAGCGGUUAUCUAUUGCAGUAAAUCUUAGUGUUUAUCAAAUAUGCCAUUUGUGUUGAUUUACAUGUAGUUUAGUAACUUGAUUGAUUGGAUCCUGAAUUAUAUUAAUUUUAAUAAACAAGGCUAAUAAUUGUUUCGUUCUUUUUGUUUUUUUUUUUCCUUUCUAAAAUUAAAAGUUGAACAAAAGGGCAUGAAGGUACCUAAGUCAUGAAGGUUGAUAAAUUUUUUAGCAUUUCACACUUUAUUGAUGUCUGGACGUUUACUGACAUGUGUUUGAUCCCUGCAGGUGAACACGGUUGUCUUUGAUAUAACAGGAACUCUGACAGUUGGGAAACGGUAGUUAAUGCAGUGCUCGUUUCCAAUUACUCAAUUGAGGAGUUCUGUGCUGUAUCUAUUGCCACAGAGUUUCCAGCUCAUAGCAAGGGAAGGACGCCAUGGGAGCCUCUUUACAGGCCUGCGGGCGCCAGAAGUACGUCGAAACCGGACGCAAAGUCCACAACUUGGUCUCUGCGUUGACCGUUUUCAACUGUGAUUUUGUUCUCAACACACGCAUCAUUACCAUGUGCAAUGUGCGGUUCUCCUUUGGAUUCCCGCUCAGUUUUCGACGGGCUGAAGAGGAAGAACUUGUUCCAGUGGAAUGCGCUUGUUAGUGGGCAAUGCGUUGAUUGCAAUGUAUGGGAAAUGCGGGUCGGUUGAGGAUGCAGCUAAAGUGUUCGAGAUAAUGCCUGAGAAGAAUUGUGAUUUGUUUGAAUUGUAAGAGGCUGCUAAAGACGUUUGGAUCAACUGAACAUGUGAUGGAGGCUAAGGAUUUUGAGGUGCACACAGGAGCUGGCGUUAGUGGAAGAGUUGGUGGCAAAAUGGUUUUGGUUGGGACUUAAUAUGUGUUUACAAAUUAAUAUUUCUUGUAGUUUAAGCAAAUACCAAGCCAAAGUUCCUCUAAAAUAACGGUAUCUUUUAUUUAUUA